CUCACACCCAUCAACGCCCGGGUACUACGAGCCCCAGCUUAAAACCCAAAGGACUUGACGGUGUCCCAUCCACCUAGAGGAGCCUGUUCUAUAAUCGAUAAUCCCCGCUAAACCCAACCUCCUCUUGCAAUCAGCCUGUAUACCUCCGUCGUAAGCUUACCAUAUGAAUGACCCCAGUAAGCUAAAUGAUUAUAACACCCCAAUACGUCAGGUCAAGGUGCAGCUCAUGAGAAGGCAAGCAAUGGGCUACAAUUUCUAAUCUAGAACAAACGAAACACUGCAUGAAACUCAGCUAUGAAGGCGGAUUUAGUAGUAAAAAGAAAAUAGCGUGUUCUUUUUAACUAGGCCCUGGGACGUGUACACACCGCCCGUC
rnacentral:rRNA from 1 species